GGACGAAGUUGGCCAGCCCCACCCCCCAAGGCUAUAGCCCACCCGCUUUUGUGGCCUUUUUCCGCUGGACGAACUUGGCGCCCCGGCCUUCGGGCGGUUAUUUUUGGGCGUGGCUUUUCCCGCGGCCUAUUUUUGGCACACGGAGGCCCCUCACAAAGUCUCGCGGCAUUCCGAGUCCGACGGACGAAGUUGGCCAGCCCCACCCCCCAAGGUUAUAGCCCACCCGUUUUUGUGGCCUUUUUCCGCUGGACGAAAUUGGCGCCCCGGCCUUCGGGCGGUUAUUUUUGGUCGUAGCUUUGCCCGCGUCCUAUUUUUAGCACACGGAGGCCCCUCGUAAAGUCUCACGGCAUUCCGAGUCCGGCGGACUAAGUUGGCCAGCCCCACCCCCCAAGGCUAUAGCCCACCCGUUUUUGUGGCCUUUUUC
rnacentral:lncRNA from 1 species